GCCUUGUGAAGAAGGUAAACAUAUUCAAGGUUACAAAAUGUAGUGACAUUAAAAUUAAGUUUUGAAUGGGUUUUACUAUAAUGUUUAUUGAAUAUAAAUGCACAUUUUACCCAUAUGGGUUGAAGGCAUACAUACAUGUAAAUCAACAUAAUAAUUUUACAAUACAUCAUACAGAAAAAAAAACAACAAAAGAACAAAAUAUUAUAUACCUAUAUGUAUCUAUCAUGCAGUUGUUGAGUCCACCCUCCUCAGUGACCAUGACUUUUUAACAAAUGAAGCAGCAUACUGCAUAAUUGAUGGACAAGAAAGACAUAAAACCAAU
rnacentral:lncRNA from 1 species